rnacentral:lncRNA from 1 species
CAGGGAAGUCAAUUCUUUCAUCAUAGCAGGUCUGCAACAACAACGUGUAUCUUUUGGUAGACUGUGGGCUUCAUUUAUUCUUCAUAGGACUUUGAGAGACCCUAGGAGAAUGUUUUCUGCAUGAAAGAAUCUCCGACAUAGAGUAUUAAAUGAAGGUCUUACAUGCACUACUUAAAUGUUAUAUUAGAUUGUCUUAUGAGGGCAUCAUUUGAAAACUUUGAAUACAUAGAGACAGAUCAUGAUCUGAUAGC